GGGUUGUGAGGUUAAGCGACUAAGCGUACACGGUGGAUGCCCUGGCAGUCAGAGGCGAUGAAGGGCGUGCUAAUCUGCGAUAAGCGCCGGUAAGGUGAUAUGAACCGUUAUAACCGGCGAUACCCGAAUGGGGAAACCCAGUGUGAUUCGUCACACUAUCAUUAACUGAAUCCAUAGGUUAAUGAGGCGAACCGGGGGAACUGAAACAUCUAAGUACCCCGAGGAAAAGAAAUCAACCGAGAUUCCCCCAGUAGCGGCGAGCGAACGGGGAGGAGCCCAGAGCCUGAAUCAGCAUGUGUGUUAGUGGAAGCGUCUGGAAAGGCGCGCGAUACAGGGUGACAGCCCCGUACACAAAAGCGCAUAUGCUGUGAGCUCGAUGAGUAGGGCGGGACACGUGGUAUCCUGUCUGAAUAUGGGGGGACCAUCCUCCAAGGCUAAAUACUCCUGACUGACCGAUAGUGAACCAGUACCGUGAGGGAAAGGCGAAAAGAACCCCGGCGAGGGGAGUGAAAAAGAACCUGAAACCGUGUACGUACAAGCAGUGGGAGCACAGGUUUACCUGUGUGACUGCGUACCUUUUGUAUAAUGGGUCAGCGACUUAUAUUCUGUAGCAAGGUUAACCGUAUAGGGGAGCCGGAGGGAAACCGAGUCUUAACCGGGCGUUAAGUUGCAGGGUAUAGACCCGAAACCCGGUGAUCUAGCCAUGGGCAGGUUGAAGGUUGGGUAACACUAACUGGAGGACCGAACCGACUAAUGUUGAAAAAUUAGCGGAUGACCUGUGGCUGGGGGUGAAAGGCCAAUCAAACCGGGAGAUAGCUGGUUCUCCCCGAAAGCUAUUUAGGUAGCGCCUCGUGAA
rnacentral:rRNA from 2 species